UAAGAAGCCACACAGCCUAGACUUCCUAAUCGAUAUAAAAUACUAUGAAUUAAUUACUGGAGCCAGCCAGGCUUGAUGGAGCCUUAAUUGAAGAAAAGGGAGAUAGGGGAGCAUUAGAAAACCUUUGAAGAACUUCCCUGUAAAUAGAAUUUUCAAAAGAUUGUAUGUCGAUUGUUGAAAACGAGUAGCUUUCUUCAUAAGCGUCUAUAGAAAUGCGAUUUAAAAAGUUUCUUAAUUGAGCGUCCGUUGUGUAAAUGCCUAAAGAAGGGGUUCUUGUAGUUGAAGUAAGAAUAGAAUGUUCGGAUUCAACACUGGAUUUGUCGUCCUUCUCCGAUGCUUGCUCCUGAAGUCGCUCAGAAACCUUUUGUACGAGGGAUUUACGGCUAGUUUUUCCGCUCCAAUAGACAGCAUCUAGUGGACUAAGCAUCACAACCCAUUCAUGUAGCGCAA